CCCUGAUUUUGCUGCUAUCUGCGGCUGCCGCAUGUUCGUGUUCAUGUUAGAAUUCCAGUCCCCUUGUGGUAUGUUUUGGUUUUGAGUUUUCCAUGUUUGAUUUGUACUUUGCCUUUUUCUUUGCACUUUGUUGAACUGUUUUAUUUUGCUACUUUGUCUUGAUGUUGUAUUGCUACUUUGAUUUUUUUGUCCUGGAUUAAUUUUUUUCCCAUGCUCCUUGGGUUUUUUGUUGCCAUCAGCUUUGAUUUAAUGAAGCUCACUUUUUGUUUCCCCAUAUCCUUGCCUCCCGCCGUGUUCAUGGAAGACAUUUUGACAUGCCAUGGAAGGAAAAGCACAGAUGGAAAGCCGGCUGUUUCUUCGUUCACCAACUGGAGUUUCACAGCAAAACAAUGUUGCAGCGCUCUCUAAACAACUGAAGUAAACGGGAACAAAACAAAACAUAAAAUGGCCCAAUACCAAAUGCAUAAUGAGUCCAACAUUGUUCUAUUUUAUAGUAUUUUAUUUUAUUGUAUUUGUUCAUUUUUAUUUAAACACACCAGAAACAUACAAAAGCUUGUGGAGGAAACUGACAUUACAAAAACAAUAGAACAGCCUCAUCUCUCAAAAGUGCAACAAUAAAACAUGGCACUUUCAUUACCCACAAUGCAACUUAGUCACUGAGUUACAUCUGGAAGCAGUUUGAUCAGAUUAUAUGCAGCUUCUCCUGAAGCCACAAAAGGCUUUGUAUUACUUUAUUCAGAUAUGCAGGAGCACUUCCUUUAUUAUCUAAAGGUGGUGCACUUACCCUUUAACCUGACUGUGAGAGGCCUGCACAGUCCACAGGUGUCGUCACUUGUGGCCAAUUAGUCUCUAUAUACAGAAUAUGGGACAGGGAAUAAGGGAAUAAAUUAGAGAUUUCAAGCACAGCCCAAAUCUAAUAUUCCUAAAUGAGUAAAAUCACCUGUAUGGGUAACAGCUCGUGUAAACCU